ACCCAGGGCCAUCCCCAUACAUCCCCAGCUCCCCCCGCCCUUUUUUUCUUUUUGAAACAGUGUCUCACUAUCUGGUUCAAGUUGGUCUUAAAUUCACUAUGCAACCCAGUUGGCCUUGAACUCCAUCUCAUGGCCAUCCUCCUGCCUCAGCCUCCUGAAUGCUGGGAAUACAAACAUGAGCCACCAUGCCUGGCUAAUCCCUCCCCAUUGCUUUUUUUUUUUUUUUUUUGGUACUGGGAAUCAAACUCAGGUAGGCGCUGUGCCACUGAGCUAAAUCCCCAUCUGCUAAUCUCCUGUUUUGAGGCAGGAUCUCCAAUUAAAUUACUGAAUUGCUGGGGAUAAGCUCAUGACCCUCCUGCCUCAACAUCCCAGAGUGGAGAUUGUUUAGCUUUUGAAAGGCUAAGGGUUGCUGUGGUUGUGGAAAAUAAAUGGAGCAAAACAAAGCAUAAGAAGCUGAGAGAUGCUGCCCUUCAGCCAGGUGAGCGUAUUCCUUGCUAGUAAACACGUCCUCUCUCCUGAAAGGACCAUAUUGUGUCUGUAGAUUUCAUGGCUUUGGUAUUUACCUCCUGGGGCCUCAGAAAUCCUCAGAAUUACAGGAUGCCAGAACAACACAUUGGCGGACUGCUAGCUAGACAAAGCGAUGAUAUAGGGGUAAUAUCUGCAGGGAUGUGGGGGAAGGUCAAAAAAGCUAAAAAUCAUGCUGAGAAAAGCAAUGGCAGGAAAAAGAAAAAUCUAAAGGUGUGGAAAAGAAACCCUAAUUCUGUUGGUCUGUCUUCAUCUGGAAAGGAGGGCAGACUCUUCCCGGAAAGCUCUCAAGCCCUUGGGUUGAGCUGAAGUGCAAAUAUACUCGCUGAGCCGGGAUGCAUGAGCAAGGGGUGAGCCUGGGCAGGAUCGAGAAGAAAACCGACUCUGGACUCCUCCCUGCCACUGUGUGUGCACUUCUGGAGCUGAGCUGAUGUGAAGACGGGCGGGAGCAACCUCACCUCAGGGACUAGUGGACACUGCAGAAUAUGGUUCUCCGUAUGCGGGGUCUCCAAAAGAGCUGGACCUGAACUCACCAUGUAGCCCAGCUGACCUCAGACUCUUGGCAGUCCUCUUGCAUCAGCCUCCCAAGUGCUGGGAUUGCAGGUAUUUUGUCUCAGCAAUGAGAGAAAAAUAACCAAGACAAAUGGCUUCUUUUCAAUUCAACUGAAAAGUUGGCAAAGCAGUAAACAACGGCAAACUGACCUUUCCAAGAUUGAGAAUUCAGACACUGUAAAACAAUUUGGGGAAGAAAAAGAGGAUGAUGGAUCUCUGGGAUGCAGGAAGGAUCUGAAGGGAAAAUUGGAGCGCACAGAGAAAAUGAAAAGACUGACCCAACGCAGAAAAGAGGAGGAGGCAAUCUGUACUUUUUACCUGGCUCUCAGCUUGUGUCUGGAGAGAAGAGGAUCAAAUCCGCAGGGACACAGUGAGGGUGGUGAUUCCAGGGAGGAACCCACCAGUGGAACAGAGCAGUGGAUGCUGUGAACUACAGCGGCAGGCGAGUGACUCCAGGCCAAGAGACUGCUGUAUCCCCUGAAGAGGACAGGUACCAUGUGAGGAAGAGGCCAGCUGGACCUGGAGCUCAGAGCAGCCAGGGGUUAGCUUCAUCUCAGGGCACCCAGUGUUGAAAUCCCAUAAUGACUGAGUGAAGAGACAACUUCAGGAGAUGUCCAGGGUCAGGGAGUGAAGGCCAGGCCUGCUAAGGACACCCAGAGAAUUGUCGGCUGACUGACUCAGGCCCCAGCACCACAACCAGACACCAUGAUUAGCCAAACUUCUGUGGGUCUGAAAGUACCAGAACUAGCACCCUGCCCUAACUCUGUGGCAGGCUUGCUGGGUCAUCCAGCACAGAUCUUGACUCUGCUACCAGAGACAGCACAGCUGUGCUCGGAGUGAGACAAGCCAUGAUAGGCUUGAAAUCACAGAGAAAUUCUUUCUUUGUCUCUGCUGUUGGUUUUGGUGAGUUUUUUGAUUGUUCGUUUUUGUUUUUUGUGAGUGUGAACAUUUAGAUUUCUUCUUGUUUCAUUUUUUCCUUUUCUUCCCCUCCUGUCUUCAGUUUCCCAAGGCUUGAGUAAUCCUCCUUUGUCCUUCAGCUUUGCUUUUAAUCUUUAUUUUUCUUUUUUUAAAAUUUUAUUUAAAGACUAAACAAAACAGAAAAUAGAAAUAAUACAUACUUUCAGAGAAGAAAAACAUAAACAGUAAGAAAUCACUA